AUAAAUAUCACAAAACAACCUCAAUGAUUCGAUCUAUAUAUAACCUCAUCUCUCUCGCCUCUUUCACUCUCAAACCCUAAUCCUGUCUUCCGCCGAUUUCUACGAAAGCGAAUGCUGUGGAGAAAAUUGAGCAUAUAAUCCACAGUUGCAUCGGCCGGAUUGGAUGGCUAUCUUCACAAUGUGUGACAUACUAAAAGCAUCCUCAACGGUACAGAUGUUGUCUUGUCCUGCUGAGAGGAAAUGGCGACGGGCUGACGUUGCAGAACACUCGUCUCAAUGUGCUUUCGGAAGAGUCAAGAAAGAAUGACACCAUGUAUGGAGACAUGAUGCAUCCAAGUAUAUAUCCAAAUGAAACACAUUCGCCAUCUCUGCUCAACAUCGCCCAUCGUCAUCACCGCUUAAUCUGCAUAUUUAGAAAUAUAUGCAGGGCUGAGUACAAAGGUACUCAGUGAACACAUUGCCGAAAGAUACAAAUAUACAUUUGAAAAUAUUGUCAAGCCAUCAUCGCAGUA